GGCGGCGAUUGGAUUUUGAUGGAGAAACGGCAGUAGAGAUCUGAAAUCAUGUUGAGGUGAUGAACGGAAGGGUGAUUUGGUGAUUAUGGAAAUCGUGAGGUUCCGUGGCGGAUGCGAUAUAAUGAAUAGUGAAGCGGAGGUUGGAGACGGAGGUGUUUAAUAGUGAUUUUGGUGAAAGGAGAGGAACGGUUGUGAGGUUUUUGGUGGUGUGUGUAUAGUGGACGGAGGGUUGAAGGCGCGACGGUUGGUUUCAUUGUGGUGGAUGACGAAGGAGGCGGGUAGGUUAAGCGGUGUGAAGGGUGAGCUUCGUUUGUGGUUAGGGAGAAGGUGAGGUCGCGGUGGAGGUGUGAAGAAGUAGAAGGUGGUGUGGCGAUGGUAGUGGCGCGAUUCUAAAAAUAAGAAGCGUCUUCUCCAUUUCUUUUUCUCUUUUUCGUUCUUCAGAAUGUGUUUUCUGGUGAGUGACGCGUGUUUUUGGUUUUUUGAGCGGAGAGAGAUCUGGCAAUGAGAUUGAGUGUGGUAGGUGGCGUUUGAGAGAGUGAGGGUUUCGUGAGGGAGUGGAGGCGAAAACGGAAGGCGGAGGAGGUAAGUGAUUUAUGAGGGAUCCUGGAAAAUUUGUGUGGUGGUGUUGAAGGGUUUUUUGUUACUGAAGAAGAAGAGAGAAGAGAAUCUCUCUCAACGGUCAUGUCAUGUCCCCCGGUCCCAACACAUGAGGGAUUUAAAAAAACAGUCCCCCAAACUCUCUCCCUACCCUCACGUGUCUGCACACAAAAAACUCAAAUUAUUUAUUUUCAUUUCCUCUUUUUUUUAUUGGAUGAGAGAAGUAGACAAGGAUAGCUAGUGUGGACCAAUGAUCAAAUGAAUCUGAUGGUCAUAAAUAAUUCCAAGAAGCACACAUUGUUGGACAAUUUAAAUGUCUAGAAUGACCAUAAUAGAUGCUUUAAUUGAUUAAAAUCAAACUCAAUUAAUAAAAAUGAACAAAAUUCACAACUUUUAAAAUAACCACGAUAAAAUAAAAAUUAUGACAUGAACAAUUCUAUUAAAUUUUUUUGAUUUUGACAAAAGAGUGAAAAUAAACGGAUUUAAAAUAAAUAAAAACCGGGCGCAAAAGUGCCCGAAAAAAAUAAAAUGAAUGCACCAAAAUGAUCAGUGCAAAAUAAACUUAUUGGAAAAAUACAGCGUUUCUUUAAAUUUUGAAAUAAAUUUUGACCGGUUAAACAGGCUUGAGCUGAUCAGAAAGUGGCCGAAAAAUUAGUUAAAAAAUAAAUCGAGCAUACCAGAUUAAACUACGCGAAACGUAGAUUAAUAAAAUUGAUGUCUAGAAGCUUGAUAUUAAAAAAUUUCGUUCACUGAUUUGACGCACAUCCGUUGAUUAAUUCAACCGAUUUGUCUGUAGAUCCCAAAAAAUUGUUUCGACUGAUAUUUUAGGCACUAUGCGGUAUGGAAUGCAUGGUAUGCUAUAUAGACAUGCAAUAGCUAUGAUGACUGUAUUGAAUCAGCGAUUCAGGGUCAAAUAUGGGGUGUGACAGUUGCCCCUAUUUAAGUAUCUUCAACUAGAGAAUAUGAAGCAGGACACUCUUCAUAUGAUCAUAGUGGGAGAUAGUUAAAUACUAAGAAGACCCGGAUUUUGAUCCUGAAUCCCUAUGACAUAUUAAGUAUCUUCAACUAGAGAAUAUGAAGCAGGACACUCUUCAUAUGAUCAUAGUGGGAGAUAGUUAAAUACUAAGAAGACCCGGAUUUUGAUCCUGAAUCCCUAUGACAUGAUAUGAUAUGAUAUGCAUUGAUGCAAGAUUCUCUUUUUUGUAAUUUUUAUCUGCUAGGGAUAUGGUGAACCCUUAACAGGAGAUGCUACUAGACAGACCAAUCUAUGGGGAAUGCUAAUGGUCCACAGGGAGACGGACAAAUGGUAAAAACCAACUUGUUGGGGAAAACAAUCCUGCUGGAGAAUCAGACACACACUGGGGAGUAAUCAAAGUGAAAGUUGAUAAACGACACUUAGAAUACAGGAGGUUUCGGCAGUAAGUUCAAACAUGAUUUACUAAACCCGAAUAAGAAAAAUUUCUACAACUGGUUCAUACAUGACCUGAUAACACUGAAACAAUCAUAGAGAAAGACUCUUCAAAACAGGUUCAUACAUGACCUGGUAAUACUGGAAUGAAAGCUCAACAGCAGGUUCAUACAUGACCUGACAAUGCUGGAAUGACAGCUCAACAGCAGGUUCAUACAUGACCUGACAAUGCUGGGGAAUAUCAAGAAGUUCUGACAGCAGGUUCAGACAUGACCUAACAAAGUCAGAAAAAGUUCAAAAAGAAUAUAUCAACAAUCCAUACAUGACCUGAGAACACUGAAAUAAUCAUAGAGAAAGAUUCUUCAAAAUAGGUUCAGACAUGACUUGGUAAUACUGGAAUAAAGGCUGAAUAAUAGGUUCAUACAUGACCUGACAAAACAGGAACAUUCAAAGAAUUUUCAACAACAGGUUCAAACAUGACCUAAUCAACACUUGAAUAUUCAAAGAAUUUUCAACAACUGGUUCAAACAUGACCUAACAACACUUUGAAUAUUCAAAGAAUUUUCAACAAUUGGUUCAAACAUGACCUAACAACACUUGAAUAUUCAAAGAAUUCUCAAUUAACAAGGUCAAACAUGACCUGGCAGCAUUUCGGAACAUACAAGGAAGGUUUGACCAAAAGGUCCAUACAUGACUUAAUGACAACUUGAAUAUCAAGGAAACUUUAUUCAACAGGUUCAUACAUGACCUAACAACACUGGAAAAAAUCAAAGAAUCUCAUCAAUAGGUUCAUACAUGACCUAACAACACUGGAAAAAAUCAAAGAAUCUCAUCAAUAGGUUCAUACAUGACCUGACCAUUUGGAAUAUUCAAAGAGUUUCAAUAACAGGUUCAAACAUGACCUGAUAAUGUUGGGGGUUAUCAAAAGGUUCCAUCAACAAGUUCAAACAUGACCUGAGAAUACCGGAAAACAUACAAGGCAAGUUUUAUCAAUAGGUCAUACAUGACCUGACAUCAUUAGAAUAUACAAAACAUUUCAACAACGGGUUCAAUCAUGACCUGACAAUGCUUGGGAAAAAUCAAAGGGAGUUUUGUCAAUAGGUUCAUACAUGACCUGACGACACUGGAAAAUUCAAAGAAAGUAUAUCCACAGGUUCAUGCAUGACCUGACAAUUCUGGAAAUUUCAAAGAUAUUUUGACAACAGGUUCAUACAUGGCCUGACAAUACUAGAAAAUAAACAAACAAAAGUUCCAUCGACAGGCUCAAACAUGACCUGACAACAUUGGAAAAUUCAAAGUGUUUCAACAACAAGUUCAGACAUGACCUGACGAUUCUGGAGAAAGUCAAAGAAUUUAUUAACAAGUUCAGAUGUGACCUGACAAACUAGAAAACACAAAGGAAACUUUAACCAUAGGUUCAUACAUGACCUAAAAAUACUGAAAAACAUACAUAUCAAGUUUCAUCAAUAGGUUCAUACAUGACCUGACACUUUAGAAUACAUCUGACAGUUCUGGAGACUUCUCACAAGAAAUUCAUCCAAUCAAAGAUUUUGGAGAUUCCUAAUAGGGAAUUUAUGCAAAACAAAGAUAAACAGGAGUCUUCUUAUAAGUAGAUCAUCCACGCAAAAGGCUACGAUGAUUCUUAUCAAACAAAACCAACGUCAUUGGAGUUUUCUAACACGAAAAAAAAAAUCUCCAAGCUUCUGGGAAUUCCUCAAGAUGAUGAGUCAUACAUGACUUUCACGGAACCAUCAGGAAAGACAGGGUAAUUAAACUCUCUGUACGUGCCAACAACAAUUGGACUUUUAACCGAAUACAUGACUUUCACGGAACCAUCAGGAAAGACAGGGUAAUUAAACUCUCUGUACGUGCCAACAACAAUUGGACUUUUAACCGUAAGUAAUGGAUUACAACCAACUUUUAACGGAUUUUGCCAACAAUAAUUGGACUUUUGAGUGUAAGCAAUGGAUUACAACCAGCUUUUAACAAAUUUUGCCAACAAUAAUUGGACUUUGACCGAAAGCAAUGGAUUACAACCAGCUUGCCAGCAACAACUAGACUUUGACCGAAAGCAAUGGAUUACAACCAGCUUGCCAGCAACAACUGGACUUUGACCGAAAGCAAUGGGUUACAACCAGCUUUUAACGGAGUUUGCCAACAACAAUUGGACUUUGACUGUAAGCAAUGGAUUACAACCAGCUUGCCAGCAACAACUGGACUUUGAACGUAAGCAAUGGAUUACAACCAGCUUGCCAGCAACAACUGGACUUUGACCGAAAGCAAUGGGUUACAACCAGCUUUUAACGGAGUUUGCCAACAACAAUUGGACUUUGACUGUAAGAAAUGUAUUACAACCAGCUUUCCAGCAACAACUGAACUUUGAACGUAAGCAAUGGAUUACAACCAGCUUUUAACGGAGUUUGCCAACAACAAUUGGACUUUGACCAUAAGCAAUGGAUUACAACCAGCUUUUAACAAAUUUUGCCAAUAACAAUUGGACUUUUGAAUGUAAGCAAUGGAUUACAACCAGCUUUUAACAGAUUUUGCCAACAACAAUUGGACAUUGAAAUGAGUUCUAGUAACAACUGAUCUUGGAAUAAUGCUAGUGACAAUUGGAUUUUAGGAGACACCAAUGAGUCUUGAAAUAAUUCCAGGGAGUGGCAUAGGGGUACUGGAAGUGCGUUAGAGAAAAAAUGAAAUGUCUGGGAAUUCAUAAGAGAGUAAAAGAAACGAAUUCUGGAAAUGCAUCAGAAUUAUAAGUGAUAUUCUGGAAAUACAACAGAAUACAGACACAUCCGAUAAUACAUCGAGGAAAUUCUGGAAAUACAUCAGAAUACAAGAUAGACAUAUUUAAGAAUACAUCAGAUAGGUGGGGAAACAUCUGGAAACACAUCAGACAAGUUAUGGAAAUUCAUCCAUGAACCAAGGAGCAAUCCGAAAAUUCAUCGGAUAAUCCAAAAAGGAAUUGAACCUAUUGGAAAAUUUUAUGAUAUGUGCCAACUGGGUUGGACUCGAAAGUGACUGCGAAAACCGGAUGAUGGUUUAAGGGCACCAAAUUCAAAUUGAAAUUAGAGGUCAAAGGGUAUAGGAUCAACAACUAGAUCUGGGUCAAAGCAAAAUGAGCACGAAGUACAUUUCGGCUAUGCAUGAUUUGGAUUUUUUUAUGCAUGAUAUAUGAAUGACCAUGAUAUGAAAAUGCUGACACUUGAGUGGACAGAGAGUUUGUAAAGACUGUUUAUGAAGAUCAUGAUUCCUUAAUACCGAGAACUCAACCAAAUAUUUUAUUGUAGAUGUUAUCAAAGGAGAAUUCUAUCAAGGUUGACAACCACAACUUAGCCAAUGGGAUCCUUUUGGAGGAUUAAUGAAUCAUGCUAGCAUCAUUUUUGGGCACUCGUCUCAAAAUCAAUAGUUGUUGACAUAUGGUAGAAUUUGUUUAAGUAGUUUGAAAGCAUGAAGGGGGUCUGCCCCUUUGUGGCUCAUCUUGCCCCAGUCUGUUGGGUCUUUGAAAAUGUUCACCUUGAAAGUGAGUUUGGAACAACUUGACAUGAGACGAUAUCAAGAUGGCUUGCCCCAAUGUUUGAAUUGACUAACCAAGAGGUAGACUUCUGAUUGUAUGUCCUUAGAUAGUUCGACUCAAUGAGCUUCUGAGGUGGCUUGCCGCAGUCCGAGUCUUGAAGCAAAUUACUCUUGACUAAAUGACCCUUGGAGCGAUCGGCUCGGAUCAACUGAUACUCAAAGUGAUUUCCCUUGACUGGAUUUCUUCCACUUUAUCAAUUUCCUCAAUUGUAUAUUCCUGGAAUUUCUUUGAUGCUAAGUGUUGAAUCGCAAGUAAGAUUGUUCAUUCAAAAAUGGUAAUUUUAAUGCAAUACUUAUGCAAAAAUUUGAAAUCAAAGUUUAUUGAUAUGAACGAGUGAAAUACAGUGAACAGGUCAUUGAUAAGAACACAAUGAUGAUCAAGUCAUUCACAACAUGCAAGUCUGUGCCAUCAAAUGGUUAACGAAAAUCAUUUGGAGUCAGGUUAACACAACCUUGUUGUAGUAUGCUUUCAAAAUAAACUCUGCCUCAAUUAGGACUUUUAAGGAUUGUAACGUGGUCUGGUUCACGGUUUUUUGAAACAAAAGGAUAUAAGGCUCAAAAUUUAUUUUUACCCACCCCUUCUUCUUGAUGAUCUCCAGUUCCUAUGUUCAGUUAAUUCAAUACACGCAUUCGACUUCGAAGGUGCGAAAGUGGAAAUGAGGGUUCAAGGUGAGAUUUUCUUGAAAUGUAGUCAUUUUUUUUUUUUAGGAUUUAAUGACCCCUUUUGAUUGAUUUUCUUUAUCCCUAAUUUUUCCUAGACCACUUCUUUGAAGCUUUCGGUCCAUCGGGAUGCCCUGACUUUUGCCUAAGUCAUUUUGUGGUGUUUGACUUAGCGGACUUUUUCUGUUUAUUUUUGUACGCGUGUUGACUGCCAGGUUAUUGGUGGGUGAGGAUCAAACAACACUAAUUUUAGCUUUUCUCAACUCCUUUGACACUUCAACAUGUGCGCGAAGGAUAACGUGUGGUUGAACCUAAUUGGAGGAUGUACAUAUGGACGAUUUUUGAAAGAUUGAAUGCACGAUCAAACUAUCUAAACAUAACUACCCUGCCCCAGGUUAAGAUUAAGGGUUUUAGAUCCGAAAUAAACACCAACUUCUAGGCUCAAAGUGGUUAACUAGGGAUUAACUCCUUAUCUCUUCAGUGUUUGGGGAUUUGAAAUAAUGCCUUACAUCAUCGACAAGGUUUUACUCAAAAGCAUACCACAACAAUUUAAGGUGUUUCGUCUUCAUCAUCCUCCUUCCAAUCUUUGUUAGCACAACGAUUUGAUAAACAAAAGUGAAUGAGAGGAGUAUUUUUGUUUUUAACAUGAAUGAAAAACGAGUGAAUACCAAUGGAUCAAUUCAAAAAAGAUGCAUAAACAUUUCAUUAAUCUUACCAAUUCAAAGAAAUCAACAAUGCUUAAAAUCAAUUAACAAUCAACAUGCGAGGAAACUACAAAAGAAAUGUUGAAACAACCAAAUGAUUGCCAGCUUUAGGGAAUGCCUUCUUCAAACUUGAUCCAUUAACUUAGGGGGACACCCCUUGAGAUCUUCGCACUUAUCCGGCCGAUGGGUUAACGUUUACCAACAAGCUUCCUUCUUGAAAGGCUAUGUACCUGUUGUCAAUCAACUGUUGUACUUUGGCUUUGAAAGCGUUGCAGUCUUCGGUUGAAUGCCCUUCUGAUCCAGCAUGAUAUCCAUAUUGCACAUUUGGGUCAUACCCGGGUGAGUAAGGUUGUGGAACCGGCUUGAGAGACUUGGGAACCACCAACGAGUUUUGAAUUAGAGGUUGUAGAAGUUGGCUAUAUGUCAUGAGGAUUGGAAAUCCAAGGUGAUAUCUCAAUGCUCUUACCAGGAAAUAAUGAUAUCUCACUAGCCACAUCCUUGACCUCUUCCUUGUGGUACAAAACCUUGAGGGGUUUCAGGGGUCCUUUCCCUUUCACAUUACUUGGCCCAGAAAUCAAGAUAUAUGUACUUGAGCCUUCCCCCUUCAAUGCUUCUUGAAUUUUCCUUAGACAUGGUUCUUUGUUCUAAACGCGUGUCAGGAAUCACUUUGCUGAUCAUGGACAAAGGAUGAAUGAGUUUUUUUUGUAUUUUUGGAAAAUGAUAUGCAAUGCAUGAUAACGAAUGCAGAUGCAAUGGUAUAUGAAUGGAUGCAAUGUAUUUUUUUUUUGGUAUGCAAAUAAAAUGUAAUCCAGGUAGUUAGGAUCUGGAAUAAUGUGAGUAACUCAGAACAUCUUACUAGGUAGGCUCCUUAACAGAUAGUUCUAGGAUUUCUACCCAUAAACCCACUCACGGGAUAGUUUCUACAUUUUUGAUAAGGUUCCCAGAGUCAUGGACAAUAAUCGUAUUAACAUUAUAAAACAGGCUAGCCGCUUUAUGACAAGAGUGACGAAAGGUCUCUUAUGAGCGGGGUUUUCAUAUUGGGUGCAAAAAGGAGAGGCCCUUGGAGUCCAUCAUUACGCAACCACCAAAGUAAUAACUGGUUCUAAGAGGGGCUCCUAGAGUCAUGGACCCUUCAUGAAUCAACGUCAUGCGACAGGCUAGCUGUCUUAUAACGAGAUCUACAAACAGGUCUACUCUAGGGGAGUCUUCAUGCUAGACACGCAAGGAGUAGCCCUUGGGGACUAACACUACACAACUUCCAAUUCUAAACUUAGGUGUUCUCUCUUCUUUUUCCAAAGCUCGGGUGUAGAGCUUUAUUCAUGAUAUCAAAAAUCCCAAAGCCCACAUAUGAACAUAUAUACAGAUAUACAAAUGCGAUAAAGUAGGGAUAAAGAAAUCACAUAACAAAGGAAGAAAAAUAAAUAAACAAAGCUAACACACAUACGAAAACUUAACUAAACUAGGGUUGACUCACUUAGGGAUGUUCCUAUCCCCUGCAGAGUCGCCAUCUGUCGCACCUCGAAAAAUGGGGAUACGACUUUAAGCGUAGCGCGAUCGCACGCUCGCAAUGAUGGAUUGAACAGUCGCCACCGAACUUUAUUUAUUCCUAAAAAGGAAAGGGGAAAUAUCGAUAAAACCCAAGACAAAACGACAAUGAUUAUUGGUCGUCUGCGCAACGGAGAGGAGACAAGGGGAAGGUAUUAGCACCCCUCACGUCCGUUGUAUUCAACGGGAACGGUUUAGUUAGUUUCGUUUUGAAUGUUAGCUUAUGUUAGUCUUCUCAAGUUAUAAUGAGGAGAGAAUAAUAGGAUCAAAAGAAACGAGAAGAUGUUUUGGAUUUUUAACGAAGGACUAAACCUAAGUUUUUAUUAGUGGCCUGACAAGAUUUACAAAUCCUGCUCCUACGUAUCUCAAUAGAGAAAUCAAGGCUUACGUAGUUCUGGGUAGAAAAUUUUUGUUUGUUGGCGAUUUUAGUGAAAGCUAUAUUGUAUUAAUCGACGAAAAUAUUGUUUUACCCCAAAACAGAUGAGGAGUGGACGUAUACCACACAUCGAAUGGAUUUACAAAUCAUCAUUCGGAAAAACGUCACUUAUCUCGACUCAACAAUCGUGGCCGAAACAUUGUUUUGCAUCACCUUAAGAUAAUAUAUCUUUCGUUUGUGAAAAAGGGUUUUUUGAUUAAUCACACGGCGGCGAGAAAGGGUUUGAUUGGUUGGAUGUAUUUUGACUGAUGGAGAGAACUUGGAUGAGCAAGAUAUCCAUCUCGAAUCCUAGUCUUAGGAGUGCACGGUAUACACCAUGUUCCAUUUCCACCUUUAUUAAAAGAGUGUUUAAUAAAGAUUAAGUGUUUUGAUUUUGAUUGAGAAAGGGGUUUGAAGAAACCGCGUUGACAAUUUUAGAGGAUGGCGGGAGCUAAGAUAGGUAAGGCAUCCACCUUGAAUCUUAAUCUCAGGAGUGCACGGUAUACACCAUGUUCCAUUUCCAUCUUUAUUGAAAAAGUGUUAAGGUAGGAAUUAAGUAUUUUUGAGAUCUUAAUCUCAGGAGUGCACGGUAUACACCAUGUUCCAUUUCCAUCUUUAUUGAAAAAGUGUUAAGGUAGGAAUUAAGUAUUUUUGAGUUUGAAAGACGAAUAUUUAUAAGAACGAGACAUAAGCCCUGAGAUCAAUAAUUCAGGGUUCCACCGGAAUGCUAGAUUCCAAUGGUCCUUUUCCAUUCGAAUUAUUUAAAAAAAUUAUUUAAUGGACAACAAACACUUGAUACUUGGUUAGGGUUUGAUUUAUAUAAAUUGAGACAUGAUUUAAAUUGAAAUUGAAAUGGUUUGAAAUGAAUUGAAUUUAGACAUGAUUUAAAUUGAAAUUGAAAUGGUUUUAAAAUGAAUUGAAUUUUAAAAUAAAUUAAAAUUGAAAAAAUAAUUUAAAAAAGUUUCAAGCAAACUGUGAUUUGAAAGGUUGGAUUUUUUUAGAAAUUAAAAAAAAAUGAUUUGAUUCAUCAAACUGUGAAAACGUUUCAAGCAAAACUAGAUUUCGAUUUGAAUAAUCAAACAGAAACAACAUAAAGACUUGACAUCCAAACCAAGACAUAAAACAGACUUAAUAAAAUUUAACAUAUCAAAAUAGGGCAGAUUCAAAAUCAACCACAUAUUUGAUCUUUACCCAAAGCUCCAAGAAUGAAGGCUGCUUUGCCAAUUAGCAGCACCCUUAGGGAACCACAGUGCAAUUUCCUUGUUAGCACUUUCAACAGCAUCACUCCCAUGAAUAACAUUUCUGCCAAUGUCAAUGGCGAAGUCACGAUCCAAACGCUCCAAUGUGCACGCCGACGCCGAUACCAAUCCCAACCUGCAAUAACCCUGCAUAACGCGAAGCCGCGUCGUUCGUUGAAUCGGUCCUUUCUAUCUGAUAUCUGCGUGAAGUUAUAUCACUAUUUGAACUCGGAAGGUGACGUUAGUGUCGUGUGAGCUUGAACGGUGGUCACAGUGAGGGAAGGCGGGAUGAGUGAUGACGGUGUGAUGAUUGUCACCGCGGCGGCCGGAGGGAGUAGGUUGUCUUGUGUUGUUGUUGGGUUUGUUGGCGUGUGAGUUUGGACGGGAAUGGUUAUUGUGGUCGCGAGUGAGGACGAUGAAGGUGGUUGACGGACUAAAACAGAGGAGGUUUCGCGGUUGUUGAGGGGUUGUCAUCGGUGGCGAUUGGAUUUUGAUGGAGAAACAGCGGUAGAGAUAUGAAAUCAUGUUGAGGUGAUGAACGGAAGGGUGAUUUGGUGAUUACGAAAAUCGUGAGGUUCCGUGGCGGAUGCGAUAUGAUGAACAGUGAAACGGAGGUUGGAGACGGAGGUGUUUAACGGUGAUUUUGGUGAAAGGAGAGGAACGGUUGUGAGGUUUUUGGUGGUGUGUG
rnacentral:lncRNA from 1 species